rnacentral:ncRNA from 1 species
UACUCGUAUGAUCAAGAACGAAAGUUAGAGGUUCGAAGGCGAUCAGAUACCGCCCUAGUUCUAACUGUAAACGAUGCCAGCUAGCGAUCCGCCGGCGUUUCAUUAACGACCCGGCGGGCAGCUUCCGGGAAACCGAAGCUUUUCGGUUCCGGGGGAAGUAUGAUUGCAAAGUUGAAACUUAAAGGAAUUGACGGAAGGGCACCACCAGGAGUGAAGGAAUCAGCGUGUUUAACAAUCCUGGGCCGACAGGCUUCCGGGUAACCCGCUGAACCUCCUUCGUGCUUAGGGACCGUGGCUUGCAAUUUUUCCACGUGAACGAGGAAUUCCCAGUAAGCGCGAGUCAUCAGCUCGCGUUGAUUACGUCCCUGCCCUUUGUACACACCGCCCGUCGCUACUACCGAUUGAACGGUCGCAUUGAGGUCUUCGGAGUGGACGCGCGUUAUUCGGCCCCCUCGGGGGCUAGGUCGUCGCACGAUCGCGAAGAUGACCGAAAUCGGCCGUUUAGAGGAAGUAAAAUUCAUAACAAGGUUUCCGCUCCGGUGGUGCGAGAUUGGCGGUUCAACC